rnacentral:lncRNA from 1 species
AUGGUUCCGGUGAAGUUCGGUGAAGUUCGGAAGCUUUCGGGCGUUUCGGUGCGCAUAGGCGCGAAAACGGAACCCGAAAGGUUAUGUUGGGCCGUGAGCUAAAUUCGGCAUUAGAGUGGGUGAAAAGAUGAUGGAGACGUGUUCAAAAACAUGUUUGGUGAGCCUCGGUUAGAUUGGAAAAGAAUCGGAGGUUUCGGAAGAAGUU